GGAAAGGCUUACGGUGGAUACCUAGGCACCCAGAGACGAGGAAGGGCAUAGUAAUUGAUGAAAUGUUUCUGGGAGUUGAAAAUAAGCAUAGAUCCAGAGAUUCCCGAAUAGGGAAACCUUUUGAACUACUACUAAAUCCAAGGGCAGGCAAGAGACAACCUAGCAAACUAAAACAUCUUAAUAGCCAGAGGAAAAGAAAGUAAAAGCGAUUCUCGUAGUAGCGGCAAGGGAAAUGGGAGUAGCCUAAACCUUGAAAACAGGGUUGUGGGAUAGCAAUACAAGCAUUGUGCUGCUAGGCAAAGUAACCUGAAUGAUGCACCCUAGAUGGCGAAAGUCCAAUACCCGAAAGUAUCACUAACUUACACUCUGACCCGAGUAGCAUGGGGCACGUGGAAUCCCAUGUGAAUCAGUAAGGACCACCUUCAAGGCUAAAUACUCCUGGGUUACCGAUAGCGAAGUAGUACCGUAAGGGAAAGGUGAAAAGAACCCCCAUCGGGGAGUGAAAUAGAACAUGAAACCAUAAGCUCCCAAGUAGUGGGAGGAGCCAAGGCUCUGACCGUAUUACUAUUGAAGAAUGAGCCGGCGACUCAUAGGCAGUGGCUUAGUUAAGGGAACCCACCGGAGCCGUAGCAAAAGCGAUUCUUCAUAGGGCAAUUGUCACUGCUUAUGGACCCAAACCUAGGUGAUCUAUCCAUGACCAGGAUGAAGCUUGGGUAAAACUAAGUGGAGGUCCGAACUGACUGAUGUUGAAGAAUCAACGAAUGAGUUGUGGUUAGGGGUGAAAUAUCACUCGAACCCAGAGCUAGCUGGUUCUCCUCGAAGUGCGUUGAGGUGCAACAGUUGAUUGGACAUUUAGGGGUAAAGCACUAUUUUGGUGUGGUCAGUGAGAGCGGUACCAAAUCGAGGCAAACUCUAAAUACUAGGUAUGGCAUUAAAAUUAAAAAAGAAGGGUCAAAGUUGGCUAGUGAGACGAUGGGGGAUAAAGUUCAUCAUUGAGAGAGAAAUAGCCCAGAUCACCAGCUAAGGCCCCUAAAUGGCCACUCAGUGAUAAAAGAGGUAGGGGUGCGGAGACAGCCAAGAGGUUUACCUAAAAGCAGCCAUACUGGUCGAGCGCUCUUGCACUGAAGAUGAAUAAGGCUAAGCGAUCUGCCGAAGCUGUGAGGUGUAAAAAUACAUCGGUAGGGGAGUGUUCCACCUUAGAGAGAAGCCUCCGCAUGAGGGGUGGUGGACAAAACAGAAGUGAGAAUGUUGGCUUGAGUAAUACAAACAUUAGUGAGAAUCCAAUGCCCUAAAAACCUAAGGGUUUCUCUGCAAAGUUCAUCCUCGGAGGGUGAGUCAGGGCCUAAGAUCAGACCAAAAGGCGUAGUUGAUGGACAACAGGUGAAUAUUCCUGUACUACCCCUUGUUGAUCCUGAGGGACGGAGGAGGCUAGGUUAGCUGAAAGAUGGUUAUCGGUUCAAGAACGUAAGGUGUCCCUGCUCUUUUUUAGGGUAAGAAGGGGUAGAGAAAAUGCCUCGAGCCAAUGUUCGAAUACCAGGCGCUACGGAACUAAAGUAACCCAUGCGAUACUCCCAGGAAAAUCUUGAACGACUUUGGCAAGAGGGUACCUGUACCCGAAAUCGACACAGGUGGGUAGGUAGAGAAUACUUAGGGGCGUAAGACAACUCUCUCUAAGGAACUCGGCAAAAUAGACCCAUAACUUUGGGAGAAGGGGUGCCUCUUCAAAUCACAAAGAGGGUCGUAGUGACCAGGCCUGGGCGACUGUUUACCAAAAACACAGGUCUUCGCAAAGUCGUAAGACCAUGUAUGGGGGCUGAUGCCUGCCCAGUGCCGGAAGAUCAAGAAAGUUGGUAACCUGAUUACAGGGAAGCCGGCAACCAAAGCCCCGAUGAAUGGCGGCCAUAACUAUAAUGGUCCUAAGGUAGCAAAAUUCCUUGUCGGGUAAGUUCUAACCCGUAGUAAAGGCAUAACGAUCUGGGUACUAUCUCGGAGAGAGGCUCGGUGAAAUAGACAUGUCUGUGAAGAUACGGACUACCUGCACCUCGACAGAAAGAACCUAUGAAUCUUCACUAUUCCCUGGGAUUAGCUUUGGGCCUUUCCUGUGCAGCUUAGGUGGAAGGCGAAGAAUACCUUCUUCCGGGGGGCCCAAGCCAUCAGUGAUAUACCACUCUGGAAGGGAUAGAAUUCUAACCUUGUGUCAGGACCUACGGGCCAAGGGACGGUCUAAGGUAGACAGUUUCUAUGGGGCAUAGGCCUUACAAAAGGUAACGGAGGUAUGCAAAGGUUUCCUCGGGCUGGACGGAGAUUGGCCCUCAAGUGCAAAGGCAAAAGGGAGCUUGACUGCAAGACCCACCUACCGAGCAGGACCGAAAGUCGGCCUUAGUAAUCUGACUGUGCCGAGUGGAAGGGCCGUCGCUCAAUGGAUAAAAGUUACUCUAGGGAUAACAGGCUGAUCUUCCCCAAGAGCUCACAUUGACGGUAAGGUUUGGCACCUCGAUGUCGGCUUUUCACCACCUGGGGCUGUAGUAUGUUCCAAGGGUUGGGUUGUUUGCCUAUUAAAGCAGUACAUGAGCUGGGUUCAGAACAUCGUGAGACAUUUCGGUCCAUAUCCAGUGUAGGCGUUAGAGAAUUGAGAGGACCUUUUCCUAGUAUGAGAGGACCAGGAAGGAUGCACCUCUGGUGUACCAGUUAUCGUGCCCACGAUAAACGCUGGGUAGCAAAGUACGGAGCGGAUAACUUUUGAAAGUAUCUAAGUAGUAAGCCCACCCCAAGAUGAGUGCUCUCCUAUUCCGACUUCCCCAGAGAUUCCGAUAGCACAGCCGAGACAGCGACGGGUUCUCUGCCCCUGCGGGGAUGGAGCGACAGAAGUUUUUUUGAGAAUUCAAGAAAAGGUCACGGCGAGACGAGUCAUUUAUCAUUACGCUAGGUGUCAAGUGGAAGUGCAGUGAUGUAUGCAGCUGAGGCAUCCUAACAUACCAAUAGACUUGAAC
rnacentral:rRNA from 1 species